CCGCUCUCAGGGUUGCAACUGGAGAGUUUCCAGUACUUUACCAGUCUCGACUAAGGGAGGGAGAGUCAAGCAGAAGCAUAUCUAUUCCAUUCCUAGCUCAGUGGCUAGCGAAUGGAAGGCAAUCUGCUACAAGU